rnacentral:rRNA from 1 species
AGAGUUUGAUUAUGGCUCAGGAUGAACGCUGGCGGCGUGCUUAACACAUGCAAGUCGAACGGAAACGUAUUGAAACCUAGUGAUAUACGUUCUAGUGGCGGACGGGUGAGUAACGCGUGGGUAACCUGCCGUAUUCUGGGGGACAACAGUUGGAAACGACUGCUAAUACCGCAUAAGACCACAGAGUCGCAUGACUCAGGGGUAAAAACUCCGGUGGAAUACGAUGGACCCGCGUCUGAUUAGCUAGUUGGUGAGGUAACGGCCCACCAAGGCGACGAUCAGUAGCCGGCCUGAGAGGGUGAACGGCCACAUUGGGACUGAGACACGGCCCAAACUCCUACGGGAGGCAGCAGUGGGGAAUAUUGCACAAUGGGCGAAAGCCUGAUGCCAGCGACGCCGCGUGAGUGAAGAAGUAUUUCGGUAUGUAAAGCUCUAUCAGCAGGGGAGAAAAUGACGGUACCUGACUAAGAAGCCCCGGCUAACUACGUGCCAGCAGCGGC